GGAAUCCUGAAAAGAUCUUUAAGAGAGAGAGUGCAGAAAAGGAGCCAUGGAAGAAAGCAGGAAUGUCACAAGGGGUGUUUCAUAAAACACAUGAAAUGGCUCUCUAAGCCAUUUAGAGAUAAUGUGAAGUUUAAGGCUGGAGAGGCAGUGCCGGCUAUGGAGGGGUGGGGCUGGCCCAGGAAUAUUUGGUCUUUAGUAUAUGCCCUGACGCAGGGCAAGAUUAGGAGAAAGAUGGGCCACCACAGUUACCGAGUAAAUUCAUACAAGGCCAGCAACAUCAUCCAUUUGUUGUUGUUCAGUUGCUAAGUAACGUCCCAUUCUUUGUGACCUCAUGGACUGUAGCACACCAGGCUUCUCUGUCUUCCACUGUGUCCCCGAGUUUGCUCAAAUUCUUAUCUAUUGAGUCGGUGGUGCUAUCCAACCAUUUUAUCCUCUGCUGCCCCCUUUUCCUUUUGCCUUCAAUCUUUCCAAGCAUCAGGGUCUUUUCCAAUGAAUUGGCUCUUCGCAUCAGGCGGCCAAAGUAUUGGAGCUUCAGUUUCAGCAUCAGUCUUUAUAGCCCCAAAAUGGAAACAACCCAAAUGUCCAUCAACAAAGAUAUGGGUAACAAAACGUGAUAUAAACACACAAUGGAAUACUAUUCAGCCACGAAAAGGUAUGAAGUAUUGACAUAUACUACAAUGCGGAUAAACCUUGAAAAUAUUAUGCUAAGUGAAGGAAGCUCCAAAAGGCCACAUUUUGUAUGAUUCCAUUUAUAGAAAAUUUAAUUUCAUUUACAGGCAAAUCUAUAGAGAUAGAAAGGAGAUUGGUGGUUGCUAAUAGGUUAGGAGAUAGUGAUGAGGAGUAGCUGGGAAUGAGUGACUUGUUUCCCUUUGAAGUUAUGAAAUGUUUUAAAAGUGAGUGGGGUGAUGGUUACUUCUGUGAAUAUAUUAAAAACCACUGAAUUGUACACUGUACUUUUAAAGGAUGAAUUAUUUUAGGGUGUCUGAAUUAUAUGUCAUGGGGGAGAGAGAGAAUUAGGAGAUUAUGGUCAUAAAAACUUGAAAUAGGAUUUUUAUAAUUGUUACUUCUGUUAACAAAAGUUAUGCUUCCAGUUGCUGAGUUGCUGGAAAGAGUUUGGGGUUUGAAGUUCAGAGACCUGCAUCGAAGCUUCAAGCAAAUCUCUUAAACUCCCAGGGCCUCAAUUUCCUCAUCUAAACCUUAGGGAGUUAGAUAAAGUGACCCAUGUGUUUCUUUCCGACUGUAAAGGUUCUGUGAUUUCCAAGAUUCUUCUCCUGUCUUCUUUCUUCCUAAGCAUCACCCCCAGAAAAUUCCACCUGAUACCUCCCUGCUAUCACUGACAUGAAGAGGGCUUAUUGUGUUAAAUAACUUUGAAUGUUUUAUAUACUGGGUUUCCUUCACACAGGAUAUCCUUAAAGCUGGACAUUCUUAAUUCUUCUUAAACUGUCCCAUACAAUUCUAAAAUUAUUUAGAAACAUCAUGCAUGGGUCAUCAGAAUUGUGACCAUUGACCUAUGUUUAUGUAACCUUCUGGUUACACAAUCAAGCCAGGUGAGGUUAGAAAAAGGAGUGUCUGGACUUUUGUCCAGUAUCUGCCCGUGGGAUCAAUUUAUCACCUUAUUUUCUUUCUUGAUUCCUGUUUAUGUCUCCUGAUCUUAUUCAAAGUGACUUGAAAACAUUAAGUACAGCUCUUGAUACUAUUAAACUGAUGGCUCUAAGUGAAAAAAACAAGACUGUCAACUUAGAGCUGUAGAUAAGGCCAGUUUCUGGGGAGAUGAGGACAGCAAGCUUUACCUGAAACAGACACCUAAAAGUUAAAGGUGGAGGGGGCUGGUGGGGAGAAAAGAAAGUAAAGAAAAGGAGUUAUGUUACAGUCGGUAAAGGUUAGAAAUGAAUCACAAGAUCAGGGUAGGAAACCAAGUAAUAAAAUAAGUGCAUAAUAGUGGGUUGCCAGGCAGACAGUGGGCUAAUACUGAAGUGACAAUUGAAUACAGAAGUGGGGGCUGAGCGAGGGAAGAGUGGGCGAGAUGGAAAAACAAAGGAAGACAUCAUCAAAGCCAACACAGAGGGGAAGAGCAGUCUGUCACAUUCUCUUUGGAGAAAUUAAGAAGCCAGACAAAUUAUAAGUGUAUCUUCCCUGGGAAACAUGAUCAGACAGUCUCAGGUUGGCACUCCUGGAGGGGUAGUGAGUGGUGCUGUGGGGUCCUAUGGGUUGACAUCUCCGACUCCUCUGGGGACAGUCAGGACUUGACAGGGUUUGCAGGUGUCAGCGAAGUACAGGAGUGAGAACGGGGUGAUGCUUGGGGGUUUUGCAGGACCUCCUGGAUUUUUCUGUUCAGAAAGAGAAUAGCAGACAGAGAUAAAGACAUAUAAUGUUACUGGGGAGGGGAGAGCUGUGUAUUCAGCUGUGGGCUGCUAGGCCUUAGCCCUCUGAUUUUUCCCAAGGCCCCGUGCAAUGGGGCUAUUCUCACUGUGCUGUUCCAGACAAGGAUUCUGGAAUAGCUUGCAUGACCACACACAGCAAGGAUGCCCUGCUUCUAACCUCCCUGACACCUGUCUCCCUUCCUGGGUCUCCUUCUGGAGCCACUGCAUACGUGGUUAAACAUGCCUCUCCCAGCCAGGGCUGGAGGGAGGGGUUUUCAGGGACCACCUGGACUUGGAUGUCAUGGAUUUCGCUUGUCCUGACACCAUAAAGGAAAUGGGCAGGGCCACUCUGAACACUUGAUCUUGUUUGCAUUUGGUUGUCUUUUUCUUCUCUCCAUUGGCAAUGGCUUCAGAAUAAUGCCUUGCACAGAGUGUGUCUCAGUGUAUCUCAGGAACAAGCUGCACAGAAACCCUCCAUCCCUCUUCCCCAACAAACACCAGCCAUGCCCAAGCAGCCUGCAGAGCUGGCCACAGCCUUGGGUUCAGCCCACAGAGUCAGGCAACCACACACAGCCACAGUGGCCUCUGCAGUCUAAGAAGGGUUUCAGUCUCCUUCUAGAAGUUUCUCUCCAGUUUUCAAAUGUCAUGACCAAAGGAAGGAAGAAAGUCUGACUUUGAAAUUGAUUCCUCGACAUGGCAAGGCAAAGAAAGUUUCUAGCAGACGGCCCAGGCCUUGCUGUUUUGUGAAGAUAACAGGAAGCGUAAUUUGUUUUCAGAGUGUAAUUUUAUUGUAUCUUAAUGCAAAAGAAGGCUCUGAAGACUCAUUUUAACAGAAGAAACACCUGAAAUUUUCACCUGAAAGGAAAAAAAGUGUUACAUUUGCUCAGCUACGUUUUGCUUGUUCAAAAUGUAUACAAAAAUGUUCUAAAACACAGAAGUGCUUGACAUGCAUCUUUAAAUACAGGUAUUUUGCAAACAUGACGUGCCCUCCAGCAUGUGAAAUUUUCAUUUACCACCACAGGCCAGCUCACGAAGAAUCCAAGCUUGCUUGUUUGCAGCUCAUUGCAUUUUUCACAGGUGCACACAGCGUUCAAAAUGCUCAUGAAUCUUGAAACUUGAACCCAGAAGUUGUAAUUUGCUGAAUAGAAAUAAACACGAGUCCCCGAAGGACUGGUCCAUGGCUACCAUCUUGUUCCUGAAAUGCCAGAGGCCCAGGAAGACAAGUGUUGGCAUGAAUACAGGAUGGGUUGAUGGAACAGGUCAGUGGGAAGGGUACCAAAGAGCUGUUCCUGUGCCUGGGAUUCAGCCUUUUCCUCUUUCUCUUCCUUUGCUCUUCAUGCCUGCUCAGUCACUUUAGUCAUGUCCA
ensembl:lncRNA